rnacentral:miRNA from 1 species
GGAGUAUUGCUUCUGCUGCCAGG